AUUGAACGCUGGCGGCAGGCCUAACACAUGCAAGUCGAGCGGAUGAAGGGAGCUUGCUCCUGGAUUCAGCGGCGGACGGGUGAGUAAUGCCUAGGAAUCUGCCUGGUAGUGGGGGAUAACGUCCGGAAACGGGCGCUAAUACCGCAUACGUCCUGAGGGAGAAAGUGGGGGAUCUUCGGACCUCACGCUAUCAGAUGAGCCUAGGUCGGAUUAGCUAGUUGGUGGGGUAAAGGCCUACCAAGGCGACGAUCCGUAACUGGUCUGAGAGGAUGAUCAGUCACACUGGAACUGAGACACGGUCCAGACUCCUACGGGAGGCAGCAGUGGGGAAUAUUCGACAAUGGGCGAAAGCCUGAUCCAGCCAUGCCGCGUGUGUGAAGAAGGUCUUCGGAUUGUAAAGCACUUUAAGUUGGGAGGAAGGGCAGUAAGUUAAUACCUUGCUGUUUUGACGUUACCAACAGAAUAAGCACCGGCUAACUUCGUG
rnacentral:rRNA from 1 species